GUUCUCGUUCGAUCACCGAAGUUAAGCAUCGUAGAGCCAGGUCAGUACUUAGAUGGGGGACCGCUUGGGAACACCUGGUACUGUAAGC